GUAGGGGGCAAGCGUUAUCCGGAUUUACUGGGUGUAAAGGGAGCGUAGACGGCUGUGCAAGUCUGGAGUGAAAGCCCGGGGCUCAACCCCGGGACUGCUUUGGAAACUGUACGGCUGGAGUGCUGGAGAGGCAAGCGGAAUUCCUAGUGUAGCGGUGAAAUGCGUAGAUAUUAGGAGGAACACCAGUGGCGAAGGCGGCUUGCUGGACAGUAACUGACGUUGAGGCUCGAAAGCGUGGGGAGCAAACAGGAUUAGAUACCCUGGUAGUCCACGCCGUAAGCGAUGAAUGCUAGGUGUCGGGGAGCAAAGCUCUUCGGUGCCGCCGCAAACGCAAUAAGCAUUCCACCUGGGGAGUACGUUCGCAAGAAUG
rnacentral:rRNA from 1 species